rnacentral:rRNA from 1 species
UACAGAGGUCCCAAGCGUUGUUCGGAUUCACUGGGCGUAAAGGGUGCGUAGGCGGUGGGGUAAGUCUGAUGUGAAAUCUCGGAGCUCAACUCCGAAAUGGCAUUGGAAACUACCUCGCUAGAGGGUUGGAGGGGGGACUGGAAUUCUCGGUGUAGCAGUGAAAUGCGUAGAUAUCGAGAGGAACACCAGUGGCGAAGGCGAGUCCCUGGACAACUCCUGACGCUCAGGCACGAAAGCUAGGGGAGCAAAC